CGCCUCGCGGUCGAAAUAUUCCAACGUGUCGUGACUGACACAAAAACACAGAAUAAAACGUACAAAUACCGUCACCAUACGAGGACAAAAACUGUGAGCAUAUCUGUAUAAGUGUGACUGAUAAUACUUUGUAAUUAGCAGUCGAACCGUUUAUUUUUUUAUUUUUAUUUUUUUAUGACAGGCCAAAGGAAAGCAGAAGCACCAGCAGCAACAGCAAAACCGUAGACAGAACUUCUUGAAGGCGGCACCCAUCCUCAAAAUACAAAACUAGAAGAUGGGAAAGAAGGAGUCUAAGUUCAAGAGCUGAUGUUAAUGGAGGCAUCUGUGGGUGUAUGUGUACCUGACAAACAGACACUGUUCUGUUCCACUGCACCAUCUUCUCUGGCUGUAAAAUGACCUCCUCAUUCACCAGCUUUGCGGGACACUGCAAGAGUGCCUAAAACACCCAAAACACAGUCCUGGAACAGAGAACAUUCAUACGAAUCUGCCAGAUACCAAAUGCGCAAGGAUACAAAUGGAAAAAGUGACUCUAGAGUACACAGAGAACCGGCUGACUAAUGAUCUCAAGAAAACAGCUCUUCCUCAGCUAACCUCCUAGUCAAUUCUGCCAGGUAAGCAUACCAACAUCAUGGCAAAAUCUUGACUGAAAACACUCAAUUCUUAACUUAAAGUUUACCAAAAGAGAAUA